rnacentral:rRNA from 1 species
GAUGAACGCUAGCUACAGGCUUAACACAUGCAAGUCGAGGGGCAGCGCAGUGUAGCAAUACAUGGGCGGCGACCGGCGCACGGGUGCGUAAGGCGUAUCCAACCUUCCCGGUACUCAGGGAUAGCCUUCCGAAAGGGAGAUUAAUACCUGAUGGUGUUGAAAUUCCGCAUGUUAUUUCAACUAAAGAGUUAUCGGUAACGGAUGGGGAUGCGUGACAUUAGAUAGGAGGCGGGGUAACGGCCCACCUAGUCUACGAUGUCUAGGGGUUCUGAGAGGAAGGUCCCCCACACUGGAACUGAGACACAGUCCAGACUCCUACGGGAGGCAGCAGUGAGGAAUAUUGGUCAAUGGUCGGAAGACUGAACCAGCCAAGUAGCGUGAAGGAUGAAGGUUCUAUGGAUUGUAAACUUCUUUUAUACGGGAAUAAAACCUCCCACGUGUGGGAGCUUGUAUGUACCGUAUGAAUAAGCAUCGGCUAACUCCGUGCCAGCCGCCGCUGUAACAC